CCUCGGCGGCUGCAGUGGGGAAUAUUGGACAAUGGGCGAAAGCCUGAUCCAGCCAUGCCGCGUGUGUGAAGAAGGCCUUCGGGUUGUAAAGCACUUUCAGUGGGGAAGAAAGCCUUGGGGCUAAUACCCUCGAGGAAGGACAUCACCCACAGAAGAAGCACCGGCUAACUCCGUGCCAGCAGCCGCGGUAAUACGGAGGGUGCGAGCGUUAAUCGGAAUUACUGGGCGUAAAGCGCGCGUAGGCGGUCUGAUAAGCCGGUUGUGAAAGCCCCGGGCUCAACCUGGGAACGGCAUCCGGAACUGUCAGGCUAGAGUGCAGGAGAGGAAGGUAGAAUUCCCGGGGUAGCGGUGAAAUGCGUAGAGAUCGGGAGGAAUACCAGUGGCGAAGGCGGCCUUCUGGACUGACACUGACGCUGAGGUGCGAAAGCGUGGGUAGCAAACAGGAUUAGAUACCCGAGUAGUC
rnacentral:rRNA from 1 species